CAAAAGGUUUUUAAAUGGAAAAAAAAACCACACACACAUAAUAAAAAGUAAAGU
rfam:Homo sapiens chromosome 2, GRCh38 reference primary assembly.